GGUAGUCCACGCCGUAAACGAUGUCGACUUGGAGGUUGUUCCCUUGAGGAGUGGCUUCCGGAGCUAACGCGUUAAGUCGACCGCCUGGGGAGUACGGCCGCAAGGUUAAAACUCAAAUGAAUUGACGGGGGCCCGCACAAGCGGUGGAGCAUGUGGUUUAAUUCGAUGCAACGCGAAGAACCUUACCUACUCUUGACAUCCAGAGAACUUAGCAGAGAUGCUUUGGUGCCUUCGGGAACUCUGAGACAGGUGCUGCAUGGCUGUCGUCAGCUCGUGUUGUGAAAUGUUGGGUUAAGUCCCGCAACGAGCGCAACCCUUAUCCUUUGUUGCCAGCGGUUCGGCCGGGAACUCAAAGGAGACUGCCAGUGAUAAACUGGAGGAAGGUGGGGAUGACGUCAAGUCAUCAUGGCCCUUACGAGUAGGGCUACACACGUGCUACAAUGGCGCAUACAAAGAGAAGCGACCUCGCGAGAGCAAGCGGACCUCAUAAAGUGCGUCGUAGUCCGGAUCGGAGUCUGCAACUCGACUCCGUGAAGUCGGAAUCGCUAGUAAUCGUAGAUCAGAAUGCUACGGUGAAUACGUUCCCGGGCCUUGUACACACCGCCCGUCACACCAUGGGAGUGGGUUGCAAAAGAAGUAGGUAGCUUAACCUUCGGGAGGGCGCUUACCACUUUGUGAUUCAUGACUGGGGUGAAGUCGUAACAAGGUAACCGUAGGGGAACCUGC
rnacentral:rRNA from 1 species